rnacentral:lncRNA from 1 species
UGUGUGUGUGUAAUAAGUAUAGCUGUUUCAAUAAUUGGCAUUGAAAUCUUUCAUACAUAUGUUAUUAUUCGAUAUUUUAUCCCUAAAGAAGCGUUGUGUACGGUGUUUAGCUGACCACAUAAAUGCUUAUGUACGGUGCAUAGUUAAGUUGUUGUACACCGUACACAAAAACUUUAUUUAUAUACUCGUUUAUUGCCCAAACAGUUUCAAGGAAUGAGUAAUCACAGGUAGAUUUAUGAUUGGUAACUAUUACUGUUGCCCUGUAUUAGGUUUCUUUCAGAUAAAACAUGUAAAUGUCUCAACAACUGUAUCGAAAUUGAAGGUGGGUGUUGACUUUCACAACUAUUUGCGCAUGAACAAGUUAAUUGUUCUUAUUUGAAUAUCAAAGUUGUUUUAUGAAUAGGAAAAAAUCGGUGCAAAAUUUAUUUGGGAGCAGGAAUUUCAAAUGUUGAGAAAUGUACAUUGAAUAUUGAUAAAGCAAAACAAAGAUCUUCGUUACCAUGUAAGGUCAAAAUCGAUCAUGCCCGCUUGGUUAGUACCUAUAUCCGGUGUACUGAUGAUACACGGUGGAUU